UACGUAGGGUGCAAGCGUUGUCCGGAAUUAUUGGGCGUAAAGAGCUCGUAGGCGGUCUGUCGCGUCUGCUGUGAAAACUCGGGGCUUAACCCCGGGCCUGCAGUGGGUACGGGCAGACUAGAGUGCGGUAGGGGAGACUGGAAUUCCUGGUGUAGCGGUGAAAUGCGCAGAUAUCAGGAGGAACACCGGUGGCGAAGGCGGCAUCCUGGACCAACACUGACGUUGAGGAGCGAAAGCCAGGGGAGCAAACGGG
rnacentral:rRNA from 1 species